GACGAACGCUGGCGGCGUGCUUAACACAUGCAAGUCGAACGAAGAGCGAUGGAAGCUUGCUUCUAUCAAUCUUAGUGGCGAACGGAUGAGUAACGCGUAAUCAACCUGCCCUUCAGAGGGGGACAACAGUUGGAAACGACUGCUAAUACCGCAUACGAUCUAAUCUCGGCAUCGAGGAUGGAUGAAAGGUGGCCUCUAUUUAUAAGCUAUCACUGAAGGAGGGGAUUGCGUCUGAUUAGCUAGUUGGAGGGGUAACGGCCCACCAAGGCGAUGAUCAGUAGCCGGUCUGAGAGGAUGAACGGCCACAUUGGGACUGAGACACGGCCCAGACUCCUACGGGAGGCAGCAGUGGGGAAUCUUCCGCAAUGGACGAAAGUCUGACGGAGCAACGCCGCGUGAGUGAUGACGGCCUUCGGGUUGUAAAGCUCUGUUAAUCGGGACGAAAGGCCUUCUUGCGAAUAGUCAGAAGGAUUGACGGUACCGGAAUAGAAAGCCACGGCUAACUACGUGCCAGCAGCCGCGGUAAUACGUAGGUGGCAAGCGUUGUCCGGAAUUAUUGGGCGUAAAGCGCGCGCAGGCGGAUUGGUCAGUCUGUCUUAAAAGUUCGGGGCUUAACCCCGUGAUGGGAUGGAAACUGCCAAUCUAGAGUAUCGGAGAGGAAAGUGGAAUUCCUAGUGUAGCGGUGAAAUGCGUAGAUAUUAGGAAGAACACCAGUGGCGAAGGCGACUUUCUGGACGAAAACUGACGCUGAGGCGCGAAAGCCAGGGGAGCGAACGGGAUUAGAUACCCCGGUAGUCCUGGCCGUA
rnacentral:rRNA from 1 species